UACGGAGGGGGCUAGCGUUGUUCGGAAUCACUGGGCGUAAAGGGCGCGUAGGUGGUGGCUUAAGCGUGCGGUGAAAGCUCGGGGCUCAACUCCGAGUCGGCCGUGCGAACUGGGCUCACUGGAGCAUAGUAGAGGCAGGUGGAAUUCCGGGUGUAGCGGUGGAAUGCAUAGAGAUCCGGAAGAACACCGGUGGCGAAGGCGGCCUGCUGGGCUAUGGCUGACACUGAGGCGCGACAGCGUGGGGAGCAAACAGG
rnacentral:rRNA from 1 species